CCACUAUGACCACCACCAUCCGCCAGGUCACCUCCUCCAGCUUCAUCAAGGGAUCCUCCGGCCUGGGGGGCGGCUUGUCCCGCGCUUCCUGCCGGCUGUCCAGUAACCUGGGUGCCGGUUCCUGCAGGCUGGGAUCGGUCGGCGGCCUGGGCAGUGCCCUCGGAGGCAGUAGCUACUCCAGCUGCCACAGCUUUGGCUAUGGCGGCGGCUUCGGGUGGAGGUGAGAAGGCCACCAUGCAGAACCUCAACGACCGCCUGGCCUCCUACCUGGACAAGGUGCGUGCCAUGGAGGAGGCCAACACUGAGCUGGAAGUGAAAAUCAGAGACUGGUACCAGAAGCAGGCCCCGAGGCCCGCUCGCGACUAUAGCCACUACUACCACACCAUCGAGGACCUGAAGAGCAAGGUCCUCACAGACACUGUGGACAAUGCCAACAUUCUGCUGCAGAUUGACAAUGCCCGUCUGGCCGCGGAUAACUUCUGUACCAAGUUUGAAACGGAGCAGGCCCUGCGUGUGAGUGUGGAGGCCGACAUCAACGGCCUGCGCCGGGUGCUGGAUGAGCUGACCCUGGCCAGAGCCGACCUGGAGAUGCAGAUUGAGAACUUCAAAGAGGAGCUGGCCUACCUCUGGAAAAACUACGAGGAGGAGAUGACCGCCCUGCGGGGCCAGGUGGGCGGCGAGAUCAACGUGGAGAUGGAUGCGGUGCCUGGUGUGGCCUUGAGCCGCAUCCUGAAUGAGAUGCGCGACCAGUACGAGAAGAUGGCAGAGAAGAACCGCAAGGAUGCUGAGGACUGGUUCUUCAGCAAGACGGAGGAGCUGAACCGCGAGGUGGCCACUAACAGCGAGCUGGUGCAGAGCGGCAAGAGGGAGAUUGCCGAGCUUCGGCGCACGGUGCAGACCUUGGAGAUUGAGCUGCAGUCCCAGCUCAGCAUGAAAGCAUCCCUGGAGGGCAGCCUGGCGGAGACAGAGAACCACUACUGCGUGCAGCUGGCCCAGAUCCAGGGGCUGAUCGGCAGCGUGGAGGAGCAGCUGGCCCAGCUGCGCUGCCAGUUGGAGCAGCAGAACCAGGAGUACAGGAUCCUUCUGGACGUGAAAACGCGGCCGGAGCAGGCGAUCACCACUUACCGCCGUCUGCUAGAGGGCGAGGAUGCCCACCUGACUCAGUACAAGCCAAAAGAACCCGUGACCACCCACCAGGUGCGUGCGCACCAUUGUGGAGGAGGUCCAAGACGGCAAGGUCAUCUCCUCCCGCGAGCAGGUGCACCAGACCACCCACUGA